UGGGGAAUAUUGGACAAUGGGGGAAACCCUGAUCCAGCAAUGCCGCGUGAGUGAUGAGGGCCUUAGGGUUGUAAAGCUCUUUCGACGGGGACGAUGAUGACGGUACCCGUAGAAGAAGCCCCGGCUAACUUCGUGCCAGCAGCCGCGGUAAGACGAAGGGGGCUAGCGUUGUUCGGAAUUACUGGGCGUAAAGCGCGCGUAGGCGGUCUUUCAAGUCAGGAGUGAAAGCCCCGGGCUCAACCCGGGAAUAGCUCUUGAUACUGUUGGACUUGAGUCCGGGAGAGGAUAGUGGAAUUCCCAGUGUAGAGGUGAAAUUCGUAGAUAUUGGGAAGAACACCAGUGGCGAAGGCGGCUAUCUGGACCGGUACUGACGCUGAGGCGCGAAAGCGUGGGGAGCAAAC
rnacentral:rRNA from 1 species